GGGGGCGAACUAGAUUCGACGUGGAAUUUAUGUCCCGGUGUAGCGAGUCGAGGAUUCCGGGUUGGCCUCGUAAAAAAAAUCCCGGAAAACCAAUAAGUGCGGACUCUAACCAUGAGUUCCCCCUCGCCGCUUAACUAGCGUUUGAGGGAGUCGCACCGGGCAGCCCGCGACCCGGACCGCGGCUUCAAAUAGCGGGCUUACCUUCGAGGCAAAUUCCUCGGUCGCGAAGGGACACUGAACAGGAGGGAGUGGCGCCGGCAACGUGCCCC
rnacentral:tmRNA from 1 species